rnacentral:rRNA from 1 species
UACGUAGGGUGCAAGCGUUAAUCGGAAUUACUGGGCGUAAAGCGUGCGCAGGCGGUUUUGUAAGUCUGUCGUGAAAGCCCCCGGGCUUAACCUGGGAAUUGCGAUGGAGACUGCAAGGCUUGAAUCUGGCAGAGGGGGGUAGAAUUCCACGUGUAGCAGUGAAAUGCGUAGAGAUGUGGAGGAACACCGAUGGCGAAGGCAGCCCCCUGGGUCAAGAUUGACGCUCAUGCACGAAAGCGUGGGGAGCAAACAGG